rnacentral:rRNA from 1 species
ACGGGGUGCAGCAGGCGCGAAAACUUUACAAUGCGGGAAACCGUGAUAAGGGGACACCGAGUGCCGGCAUCAUAUGCUGGCUGUCCAGGUGUGUAAAAUACACCUGUUAGCAAGGGCCGGGCAAGACCGGUGCCAGCCGCCGCGGUAACACCGGCGGCCCGAGUGGUGAUCGUGAUUAUUGGGUCUAAAGGGUCCGUAGCCGGUUUGGUCAGUCCUCCGGGAAAUCUGACAGCUUAACUGUUAGGCUUUCGGAGGAUACUGCCAGACUUGGAACCGGGAGAGGUAAGAGGUACUACAGGGGUAGGAGUGAAGUCUUGUAAUCCCUGUGGGACCACCUGUGGCGAAGGCGUCUUACCAGAACGGGUUCGACGGUGAGGGACGAAAGCUGGGGGCACGAACCGGAUUAGAUACCCGGGUAGUCCCAGCCGUAAACGAUGCUCGCUAGGUGUCAGGCAUGGCGCGACCGUGUCUGGUGCCGCAGGGAAGCCGUGAAGCGAGCCACCUGGGAAGUACGGCCGCAAGGCUGAAACUUAAAGGAAUUGGCGGGGGAGCAC